GGUGGGAGCGGGCUUGCUCGCGAUGCAAAUGGCGCGGUAAUUCUGCCUGAUCGCGCAGAUGCCAUCGCGAGCAAGCCCGCUCCCACA
rnacentral:misc_RNA from 1 species